rnacentral:rRNA from 1 species
UACGUAGGGUGCGAGCGUUAAUCGGAAUUACUGGGCGUAAAGCGUGCGCAGGCGGUUUUGUAAGCCAGAUGUGAAAUCCCCGGGCUUAACCUGGGAAUGGCAUUUGGGACUGCAAGGCUGGAGUGCGGCAGAGGAGACUGGAAUUCCUGGUGUAGCAGUGAAAUGCGUAGAUAUCAGGAGGAAUACCGGUGGCGAAGGCGGCAUCCUGGACCGGCAUUGACGCUGAGGAGCGAAAGCUAGGGGAGCAAACGGG